UACAGUUGCCAUGAGGCCCUGGAUGCCC
rnacentral:piRNA from 1 species